rnacentral:rRNA from 1 species
UGGGGAAUAUUGCACAAUGGGCGAAAGCCUGAUGCAGCAACGCCGCGUGAGGGACGACGGCCUUCGGGUUGUAAACCUCUUUAGCAAGGAAGAAGCGAAAGUGACGGUACUUGCAGAAAAAGCGCCGGCUAACUACGUGCCAGCAGCCGCGGUAAUACGUAGGGCGCAAGCGUUAUCCGGAAUUAUUGGGCGUAAAGAGCUCGUAGGCGGUUUGUCGCGUCUGCUGUGAAAACCCGAGGCUCAACCUCGGGCCUGCAGUGGGUACGGGCAGACUAGAGUGCGGUAGGGGGAUUGGAACUCCUGUGUAGCGGUGGAAUGCGCAGAUAUCAGGAAGAACACCGAUGGCGAAGGCAGAUCUCUGGGCCGUAACUGACGCUGAGGAGCGAAAGGGUGGGGAGCAAACAGGCUUAGAUACCCUGGUAGUCCACCCGUAAACGUUGGGAACUAGUUGUGGGUCCAUUCCACGGAUUCCGUGACGCAGCUAACGCAUUAAGUUCCCCGCCUGGGGAGUACGGCCGCAAGGCUAAAACUUAAAUGAAUUGACGGGGUCAUAGCUGUUCCU